rnacentral:rRNA from 1 species
UACGUAGGGGGCAAGCGUUAUCCGGAUUUACUGGGUGUAAAGGGGGCGCAGACGGCGAUGCAAGCCAGGAGUGAAAGCCCGGGGCCCAACCCCGGGACUGCUCUUGGAACUGCGUGGCUGGAGUGCAGGAGGGGCAGGCGGAAUUCCUGGUGUAGCGGUGAAAUGCGUAGAUAUCAGGAGGAACACCGGUGGCGAAGGCGGCCUGCUGGACUGCAACUGACGUUGAGGCCCGAAAGCGUG